rnacentral:lncRNA from 1 species
UCUAGAAGUCUUAUUUCUAAAAGUACAGCAUGUAUAACAUGAAAAUGAUUUAUCUAAAUCAGUCACAAAUGGCUAUCUAGCAAAUAUAGUUGGACAAAGCAGCUCUGAGCUACAUUUGUUAGCCAAAUCUCAAUGGAAAGUCUGAAGCCAUGACUAUCGUGUGCUAACUUAUCCAGGUGGCCUAUGGACUUGGGGAAUGUAAAAUGCAAAUGUAAGAGUGAGCUUUGUAAAUUAGCUUUUACCAGCCCCACUGCAUUCGUCAACUUUCUUUAAUUCUCAUUCAGCACCACCUUUCACUCUGGAAACUUGUUCUUCACAGGGAACAUUGUAAUGACAGAUAAAAUUGCUUAAAACUUGCGGAUCAUCUCUUUUAAAAUGCAGAUUAUAAGGAUCAAGACACUCUCUGGUGCAGGAAUGCUGCUUUUUGCUGCACUAUUCAUGUUUGGCCAACCUUCAAAUGUGGGGUCCACAGAGGUGACCUAUUGGGCAGAGAUCAUGAUUGAGGGAAAUAAAACCUUAAAUGUGGGAGUCUAUCUGCCUGGACUUAUAGGGACUGUUCUGGAUACAACGGGAGUAACUAUCACAGGCGCUGAAAUAGCAGCAGGUACGUUAAAUCUACCAUGAUGUGAGUAAUGGUUUAUGCUUUCUGAGACAGUGUUUAUUCUGUUUUUAAUCACAAGUCUAUCGUUAUCAAAACAUUUCAGGAUAGACAGUAAUUAACAGUAAAAAGGAAUAGGAUAAGGCUUUUAAGAAUAAGGAUUAAAUGCAUAAAAAUUCCAGUUUGACAGAUUACAUUUCAUUUACAGAAUAAAUAUGCAUUUUGUGUGUAUAAAUAUGUGUAUAUG